CUAUAGCAAUGCCCUUGAUUGCCUAAAUGCUGCACACGUUGAAUGGCAACCAUACAAUCACAUGGAGGUGCAAAACAUGAAUCUUAGUCCGCAAUGCAUGAGGGAUAAUGAAUACUGGCGCUCAGUUUGCCCUCUUAUUUGCUAUUACAUUGUUGAGUACCACCUUCCAAAUCGGGUGAUGCGCCAAUUUGGAAUACUUCAGUCUUGUCCGCCUGAGUAUAUUAAUACUAGCCAUGAGUUGCACGGAACUGAUCGACGGAAGCAGCGGGGUGCCAAAAACU